rnacentral:rRNA from 1 species
UGGGGAAUAUUGCACAAUGGGCGCAAGCCUGAUGCAGCCAUGCCGCGUGUGUGAAGAAGGCCUUCGGGUUGUAAAGCACUUUCAGCGAGGAGGAAGGUGGUGAACUUAAUACGUUCAUCAAUUGACGUUACUCGCAGAAGAAGCACCGGCUAACUCCGUGCCAGCAGCCGCGGUAAUACGGAGGGUGCAAGCGUUAAUCGGAAUUACUGGGCGUAAAGCGCACGCAGGCGGUUUGUUAAGUCAGAUGUGAAAUCCCCGGGCUCAACCUGGGAACUGCAUUUGAAACUGGCAAGCUAGAGUCUCGUAGAGGGGGGUAGAAUUCCAGGUGUAGCGGUGAAAUGCGUAGAGAUCUGGAGGAAUACCGGUGGCGAAGGCGGCCCCCCU